rnacentral:rRNA from 1 species
GACGAACGCUGGCGGCGUGCUUAACACAUGCAAGUCGAACGGAAAGGCCCUGCUUGCAGGGUACUCGAGUGGCGAACGGGUGAGUAACACGUGGGUGAUCUGCCCUGCACUUCGGGAUAAGCCUGGGAAACUGGGUCUAAUACCGGAUAGGAGCCAGUUUUAGUGUGAUGGUUGGAAAGUUUUUUCGGUGUAGGAUGAGCUCGCGGCGUAUCAGCUUGUUGGUGGGGUAAUGGCCUACCAAGGCGGCGACGGGUAGCCGGCCUGAGAGGGUGGACGGCCACAUUGGGACUGAGAGACGGCCCAGACUCCUACGGGAGGCAGCAGUGGGGAAUAUUGCACAAUGGGCGCAAGCCUGAUGCAGCGAGGCCGCGUGGGGGAUGACGGCUUUCGGGUUGUAAACUCCUUUCGCUAGGGACGAAGCUUUUUGUGACGGUACCUAGAUAAGAAGCACCGGCUAACUACGUG